rnacentral:rRNA from 1 species
UGAGCCCGGGGAUUUCACAUCUGACUUAACAAACCGCCUGCGUGCGCUUUACGCCCAGUAAUUCCGAUUAACGCUUGCACCCUCCGUAUUACCGCGGCUGCUGGCACGGAGUUAGCCGGUGCUUCUUCUGCGAGUAACGUCAAUCGCUAAGGUUAUUAACCUUAACGCCUUCCUCCUCGCUGAAAGUACUUUACAACCCGAAGGCCUUCUUCAUACACGCGGCAUGGCUGCAUCAGGCUUGCGCCCAUUGUGCAAUAUUCCCCACUGCUGCCUCCCGUAGGAGUCUGGACCGUGUCUCAGUUCCAGUGUGGCUGGUCAUCCUCUCAGACCAGCUAGGGAUCGUCGCCUAGGUGAGCCAUUACCCC